GGCUCUGUAGCUCAGGGGUUAGAGCACUGGUCUUGUAAACCAGGGGUCGUGAGUUCGAAUCUCUCCAGGGCCU
rnacentral:tRNA from 1 species